UCUGUGUGAUUAUGAAUGCACUUCAUUUCAUUUUGUAUUUGUAGAUGUGCAAGUGUUAGUAUUGUCAGCGAGUAUUUGGUGACUUUCUUUAUUUGUGCAUCCUGUGAGAAACUGAGAAUAAAGGUUACAGUUAAGAAUACAUUCCAAGCUGUUGGGUCUUGUGAGUGGGACUUUCGCAUCUGCUGCAGAAUAGGACGGGGGUCGCAAGGAAAGGGAAAAGUAUAAAUCGUUAAUUGUAACAUCUUAGUUUUACAUCAUUUUCUUUCUUUACAGAAUAAAUUCGAUAUUCCGUUUU